GACGAACGCUGGCGGCGUGCCUAAUACAUGCAAGUCGAACGCAGUGGGGACGGGUGAGUAACACGUGGGUAACCUCCCAUCAGAGGGGAUAACACUUGGAAACAGGUGCUAAACCGAUACGGGUGGAGGGACCCGCGGUGCAUUAGCUAGUUGGUGAGGGAACGGCUCAACAAGGCCACGAUGCAUAGCCGACCUGUGAGGGUGGUCGGACACACUGGGACUGGGACACAGCCCAGACUCCUACGGGAGGCAGCAGUAGGGAAUCGUCGGAAAUGGACGAAAGUCUGACCGAGCAACGCCGCGUGGGGGAUGACACUUGUCGGAGCGUAAACUCCUUUUGUUAGGGAAGCGGUACCUAACGAAUAAGCACCGGCUAACUCCGUGCCAGCAGCCGCGGUAAUAC
rnacentral:rRNA from 1 species